UGCAUAUAAACUAUCGGUUACAAUGAACUUUAGCUUAGCAGCAGAAAUUAACUCAACCAAGAUCAGCAGGUGGAGCAGACGUUGCUGAAGGCUAUGUCGGUCCUGUCGGACCUACGAAGCAGAUGUGAUCUAUGUCCAUUUUCUAAUUCAUGAGCAUUUCCCUAGAAUCACCUCUAUUCACUAUCCAAACACGAAAUUCUGCCUCUACAGAAAUCCACCUCCAGUUUCUACACACACCCAUUUCACCAUGUCACGACAAUCAAUUGGGGUCCUGGAAAGAUGCCUCGAUCUCCGUGCUUCAACACAUGCAUCCAUAUCCAUGGAUUCUAUUCUGCAGGGCUUCACACAGAGCAAGUGUAAGCCGCAGUUGCAAUCUGAAAAAUUCCGUGCUAGCAGCUUAACAACCGAUUCCCAUGGUCCUGAAGUUUUACUCAUUAAUAAAUACCUGAUGAAAGAUUACACCCAGUAGACCACACAGAAGGCUAACAGAUGGCAGUGCAAGUGUACCCUAAGUUUCAUUUUGCCGUGCAUUUCGGUCAGGAUCACCUAAUCUGUCAGAGACGACCAUUUGAAGAGAACUUGACGGAUGCGCAGUAAAUCACGUGAAAGAGGAUAAAUGUAGGUCACUUCACAAUGCUUUCUCCCAUUCGUUAGUCCCAUAUAAGAAGAAGUUUUAACCUCCUGAAACGUGAAACAUCAUUCUCCUCGCCGACUAUGCUCAGAGUUGACUUGAAGAAUUACAGUUGACGUGCCAUACUCUUUUCGAUUACGCCACAGUAAAAAAAAAUAAAAAUAAAUAAAAAAUACGAGGAAUCAUACUGCUACAGUGACCCACAGUAAGGUCUAG
rnacentral:lncRNA from 1 species